GACGAACGCUGGCGGCGUGCCUAAUACAUGCAAGUAGAACGCUGAAGGAGGAGCUUGCUUCUCUGGAUGAGUUGCGAACGGGUGAGUAACGCGUAGGUAACCUGCCUGGUAGCGGGGGAUAACUAUUGGAAACGAUAGCUAAUACCGCAUAAGAGUAGAUGCUGCAUGACAUUUACUUAAAAGGUGCAAUUGCAUCACUACCAGAUGGACCUGCGUUGUAUUAGCUAGUUGGUGAGGUAACGGCUCACCAAGGCAACGAUACAUAGCCGACCUGAGAGGGUGAUCGGCCACACUGGGACUGAGACACGGCCCAGACUCCUACGGGAGGCAGCAGUAGGGAAUCUUCGGCAAUGGACGGAAGUCUGACCGAGCAACGCCGCGUGAGUGAAGAAGGUUUUCGGAUCGUAAAGCUCUGUUGUAAGAGAAGAACGAGUGUGAGAGUGGAAAGUUCACACUGUGACGGUAUCUUACCAGAAAGGGACGGCUAACUACGUG
rnacentral:rRNA from 1 species